rnacentral:rRNA from 1 species
UACGGGGGGGGGCAAGCGUUGUUCGGAAUUACUGGGCGUAAAGGGCUCGUAGGCGGCCAACUAAGUCAGACGUGAAAUCCCUCGGCUUAACCGGGGGAACUGCGUCUGAUACUGGAUGGCUUGAGGUUGGGAGAGGGAUGCGGAAUUCCAGGUGUAGCGGUGAAAUGCGUAGAUAUCUGGAGGAACACCGGUGGCGAAGGCGGCAUCCUGGACCAAUUCUGACGCUGAGGAGCGAAAGCCAGGGGAGCAAACGGG